rnacentral:rRNA from 1 species
UGAGUAAUGCGUGACCAACCUGCCCCAUGCUCCAGAAUAGCUCUUGGAAACGGGUGGUAAUGCUGGAUGCUCCAACUUGACGCAUGUCUUGUUGGGAAAGUGUUUAGUGGCAUGGGAUGGGGUCGCGUCCUAUCAGCUUGUAGGCGGGGUAAUGGCCCACCUAGGCUUCGACGGGUAGCCGGCCUGAGAGGGCGGACGGCCACAUUGGGACUGAGAUACGGCCCAGACUCCUACGGGAGGCAGCAGGU